GACGAACGCUGGCGGCGUGCUUAACACAUGCAAGUCGAACGGAAAGGCCCUGCUUUUGUGGGGUGCUCGAUUGGGGAACGGGGGAGAAACACGUGAGUAUCCUCCCCUUGACUUUGGGAUAACUCAAGGAAACUGGGGUUAUUACCGCACAGGAGCCCUCGCUCCAUGUGGGGGGUUGGAAAGUUUCGGCGGUUGGGGAUGGACUCGCGGGUUAUCAGCUUGUUGGUGGGGUAGGGGCUUACCAAGGCUUUGACGGGUAGCCGGCCUGAGAGGGUGACCGGCGACAUUGGGACUGAGAGACGGCCCAGACUCCUACGGGAGGCAGCAGUGGGGAAUAUUGCACAAUGGGCGGAAGCCUGAUGCAGCAACGCCGCGUGCGGGAUGACGGCCUUCGGGUUGUAAACCGCUUUCGCCUGUGACGAAGCGUGAGUGACGGUAAUGGGUAAAGAAGCACCGGCUAACUACGUG
rnacentral:rRNA from 1 species